rnacentral:misc_RNA from 1 species
AGGAUCGGCAUCCCUUUUCCGUCAGCUCUCCUUCAUUGGACAACCGCAGCAGCUGCAGAAAAAGAGAGCAGCGAACGCGUCACGGAAGCUGCGCGCACCGCCAAACGCGGAAACACUUGUCGGUGCCUCCAACGCCCCUACAGACAAAUACACGUACGCAUGCAGGCACACCUACACCAAUAAAAAUUGCACUACCAUACAUUUUUCUUCUAGAUAUCUGCUCCUGGAGGAGAGGCGGAGAAGCGAAGAACGACGCUGCCGCGAAGACGCGUGCGCGACACCCCUUCACUGCGUUUCUUUUUUGUUUUCCUUUGCAUCUAGGUGAUGACGAGCAUCGAGAAGUUGCAGCUCUGUGGCGUGCGCAGCUUCGACCCCAACCCGGCGAAUCAGCAGUUCAUUCAGUUCCAGAAGCCGUUGACGGUCAUUCUCGGCAAGAAUGGUGCUGGCAAAACCACCAUCAUCGAGGCGCUGCUGAACGCGUGCACGGGGACCAUGCCUCCCGGCACUGGGACCGAGAAGGGCUCCUUUGUGUAUGAUCCCAAGGUUGUUGGCGAAACAGAGGUGAAAGCGCAGAUUCGACUGAUAUUCACCGGCAAGGGUGGUAAGCUGAUGCAGGUCAUCCGCUCCUUUCAGGCCACACGCAGCGCGCACCGUGUCACUUUUACAACACUGGACAAUACCGUCGCUUUCCAGGACUUGGCCACCGGGGAGGUGAUCUCGAGCACGUACCGCUCCAGCGAUGUCGACCGUGUCGUGCCGGAGAUGCUCGGCGUGUCGCCAGCUGUGCUGGAGCACGUCAUUUUUUGUCACCAGGAGGAGUGCAACUGGCCACUGGGACCACCGAAGGAUGUGAAGCGAAUCUUCGACGACAUCUUCGCCGCGACUCGGUACGUCCUCGCACUGGACCGGCUCCGCGAUAACAGCAAGGAGUUUCGCCGCCAGCUGAAAGAGCACGAGGCGAGUCUGAUGGCGCUUCGAGAGCACCGCGAGCAAGCAAAGCAGCUGGAGCAGCAAAUAGCGCAGAAGGAAAGCGUUGUGAAGGCCAUUCAGGGCCGCAGCAUCGGCAUCGAGCCAGAGCUACGGGGCCUGCGCCAAGCGCGUGAGGAGCUGCGUACGGUGGAGGAGCAGAUCGAGACAUUGCAGCGUGAGGUGGCGGUCACGAACGGGCGUCUCGAAGAGCGUCGCGAGGCGGUGCGCCGGAUGGGUGUGCCAGCCACAAGCCAGACGCUAGACGAUCUGCUCGAGAUGCGCGGCAGCUUCACCGCGCAGAUGCAGCAGCUCGAAGAGGGUCUCGUGCACGACACCAAGCGCUACGAUGCGGCCGCCGCGCGGCGACGCGCUCAAGAGGAGGAGAUGUACAAGUGCCGCUCGAACGUUCAGCUGCUGGAGCGUGAGGCGCAGCUGCACAAGCAAAACGUGGCGCAGCUUCGUGAGCUUAUCCAGCACCUGUCUAACGAGUACGUUCUGAGUGAGGGCAACAUCGACGAGCGCAGUCUGCACCGUCUUCUCCAAAAGGCGGAGGACGCCGUGGCGGCGGAGCGUCAGCGUGCUCGCGCUGCCUCAGAGAGUGUUCAGCAGCACAUUCGAGACGCGGAGGACGGCGUGCAGGGCGGCUCCCGCGCCGUGGAUGGGUGCAAGAAAGAGAUAGAGGUGCGCGAGCACGCCGUGGAGAAUGUGAGACGCCGCAUCAAGGAGAACGCCGCUGCCAUCGCGGCACUUGGCGGGGAUGGGUGCCGCACGAAGCUGCGCCAGGUUCAGGUGGAGGUGGAGGAGCUGCAGCAGCGUGUCGCUGCCGCCGAAGAGUUGCGGAAGAAAGGUGACGGGGAGCACCAAAGCCAGCGCAUUCUCAUGGAGCUAGAGGAGCAGAAUAGCACCGUGGCUCAACUGCGUGAGGAGAUGAUGCAGCAGAAGCUGCUGGAGCGCCAGCAGCAGGAUCUAGUGUUGAUGCGCCAGCAGAUCGAUGAAGCCAGGGCGGCCGUGGCGGCGGCGCUGCAGCGAGACGUGCUCCCGAUUUUGCACGAAGUUGGCGUACAAGUUCCGCAGGAUGCGGCUGCCGACUCUUUUUCAUUGACAACCUUAACGUCUUUGCGCUCCCAAGCUGCCCAGAUACGGCAGCUGAAGGCGGAGGAGUUGCGUGCUCUCCAGGCGCGUGUGCUAGAGCUGGAGAAGGUGUGCGCGCUGCAGGAGCAGAAGAUGUCCUACAGCACCGAUGAGCUGGGCCAGUGUCGCCGGACUGUGGAUGCCGGCACUAGACAGUGCGCCGGCCUCGUCCCGGACAUGGACGUCUACGAGGAGGUGCUGCUGCAGGCUAGGGAGGCGGCGGAGACGGCGGCGCAGAAACGCCACGCCCUGGAGGCCCUCGCGUCGUGCUACCACGAUUUCAUGGUUGUGGCGGAGGAGGAGAGGACUUGUGCCGUCUGCGAGCGUCCCUUUGACAGCGAAGAUGCACUGGAGAGCUUUCUGACGCGAAAAGCGGACAAGCAGCGCGCCAGCCCAGAGGCACUAGCGGCUGUGCAGGCGGCCGUCAACACAGCCCAGGAGGCGUAUCAGAGUCUUGAAAAGCUGCAGAGCGUCGUGGUGACGGUGCGACAGAACAGGCAUCGUAUUCCGGUUCUAGAGGCCGAGCUCGACGCGCUGGGGGAUAAGAUGAAGCAGAACCGCGCAGAGCAGCGCGGGGUCUGCGCGGCCCGCGAUGCUGCCCAGCAUGUGGUGCAUCAGCUGGACACCAUGUACCAGCAUCUGUGCAUGGCAUGCACCAUGGGAGAGAAGACGGUAGCACUGCGCGAUACUCUGGCAAGGAAGGAGAAAGACUUUGAGGCGGCGCAGGCGGAGCAGCAACCACACGAGACACAGCGAAAGUGGGGCAGCGGCGAUGGUGCCACAGCGAGAGCUGAACCACCGCAGCGCUCUUAUGAGGAGCUGUGUGAGGCCUACGCGGCUGCGACGGAGCGAUUGCACAAGCUCAACAGGCAGUUCACUGAGGCCCAGCGGAUGGAGCGCGGCCAGGCUGAGAAUGCGGCAGAGCGGGAGCUGCAGGAUCGCAAGACAGCGAUGUUCCAGGCUGAGGUCGCGGUUUCAAAGCUGGAGGACUUGGAGGCGGCCGCUCGUGAACUACAGGAGGAGGCUGCUCAGCACCGCACGCGGGUGGAGGAGCUGAAGCGCCAGGCAGCAGAGGCGCAGCACUCCGUGGAGGCCCAUCAGCAACGCGUUCUGCAACUCCGUGCCGAGCUUCAGAAGACGGACGCUGCCGAGCGUGGUGUUUUGGACACAGCAGAGAAGCAGCUUCGCGAGCUGCAGCUGUCGCUGCCUCCGGUCCUCAGCUACGUGCAGAACGGCUGCGCCAGACAGCUGGAGGAGCUUCGGGUGCACCUGCGCGAGACUGAGAGCGCGUACAAAGCCGCGGCUCAGGAGGAGGAGGGGCUUGCCAGCCGGAUGAAGGAAGCGCGGAAGACACUUAGCGACCAGCACCGCCGCUCUGCUGAGAUCGACCGCCACAUCGACAUCCUGCAGCAGGAGGCGUCCAUUGCGGCCGACGAGGCGCACUUGGCGGAGACAGAGCGCACCCUCGCCUCCCUGAAGUCGGACCGGCUGCAAGACGUGGAACAGCUGCUGGGGGAGGAGGCAAGACAUGCAAGCCUGGCCACACUGCGCGAGCUGAUCACCGCCAAGAUUACGUCGCUGGAGAAGAUACGUGCGCAGCAGGAUGGCAACACGGAGGCGAUGCUGCUCGAUGUAAAUCAGCUGAAACAGCAGCUGCGUGGCGACAAGUAUCAGAACAUCGAGAAGCGCUACCGGUCCACGUUCCUGAAGGUGCAAACAACGGAGAUAUCCAUCCAGGACAUUGAGAAGUACUACAGUGCGCUGGAGAAGGCGGUGCAGUCGUACCACCAGGAGAAAAUUGCACAGAUCAACCAAAUCAUCGCGGAGCUGUGGCGCCAGACGUACCGCGGCAGCGACAUCGACACGGUGGAGAUUCGCUCAGAGACGGAGGGCACGACGACGACUACGGCGCGGCGCAGCUACAACUACCGCGUUGUCAUGAAGCGGGGCAACAACGAGAUGGACAUGCGUGGUCGCUGCAGUGCUGGACAGAAGGUGCUCGCCUCCAUCAUCAUUCGGCUCGCGCUGAGCGAAGCCUUCUGCUGCGACUGCGGCAUCCUCGCCCUUGAUGAGCCGACAACAAACCUCGACGACGACAACGCUCGCAGCCUGGCGGACGCGCUGCGCACCCUCAUCCAGGCGCGGAGGGCGGUGAAGCACUUUCAGCUCGUCGUUAUCACGCACGACGAGCAGUUUGUGCGUGCGCUGGGAGGGCAGUCGCUGGAGAAGUUCUACUACGUCCAUAAGGAUCGAGAGGGCGCCUUCUCGGUGAUUGAUGAACGCACCUUUGACCAGCUUUUUGCGUGAGGCAGCAGAGACAGUUCUGUGCACUGCGCAACCGCCAUGUCUGAGACACACUCUUUCGUGCUCGCUCGCCGCCGUCGCGUGCAUGUGCGUCGUAGGCCUUCGCAGCUACCCCCCUCCCUCUCCCACCUCAGUUGUUGCGAAGCGGUCUCCGUUGAUGACUUGUUCUUCUUCGCACUGCUCGGCGAGCUCUUUGCUCUUGCUUCGAGGAUGUGUACGCAGGUUUGUGCGCGCGUAUGUGCUUGUGCGAAGUGAUUCUUACACGCUCCUCUCGUUCCUUCGCUCUUUCUCUGAGCUCUGUUGGGGCGGAUGCGUGGUGUCCGCCAACUGCGGUUCUGCCGUGUGGCAGCUGUGGUUGCCGAUCCCGACGUGGUCUCGCCCUGUUCCUUGUGUUGCUCUUUGCUUUUCUGGACGUGACGGAC